CCCCUUCCUCAUCUAAUUCACAUCACCCCAAAAAGAAUAACACUCACAAUUCAAUUUCUUCAGCUGCUAGAAUUUCUGCAGUACUCUUCCCAAUCCCAGAUUUUCGAAUCCAAUUCAUACGGAUACAGAUAGCAUAAACCUCAUCAAGGUUUGCUUUCUUUCCUACCCAGCUUUCUGCAUCAAUUAUAUUGAUGUCUCCUCGAACUAACCAAUAUUCAAUGAUUUCAAUUUCAACAAAACACAUACGUUUUCUUUACUUUGGAUCUCAUCACCUGCAAGAAUACCUAAUGACCAUAUCGAAACAGGGUAUAUAUAUAUGGGUACACAGAACAACUUGCAUAAAAUGUUGAAAAGAAGCUAUCUUUUUCAUGUAUAUGUGGGUGUGUGCUGCUGUGUGCGUGAGUUUUUCGAAGCUGCUGUCGCUGUUGUUGUGAGUCGGGAUGUGUGAGUUGGUGGAGGAGGCAGUCGAAGGAGGCGACCCUCGUUGCAGUCGAUCGGCGAGGAGAGGGCUGAGGUUGUGAGGUUGCUGAGCCGUGAACACAGGGAUCGGCGGUGGCGGUGGCCUAUUAGCUGCUGCUGCGUGCCGGUUGGACGGAGAGAAGGGUUAGGCGAGAGGCGAAGGAGGCGGAGGUUCCGGCUGUAAUGUCGCCGGAAAUCGUAGGGGGAAGCAGCUAGGGUUUCUGAUUUGGGGAUUUAGGAUUUCUGCAUUUGGGGGUUCGGUGAAUUGAGGGAGGAGAGAGAAAGAUAGAGAGAGACGGGGCGGCGGUGGUAAACGCCGGCGACGCGCCGCCGGAUUCGUGGGAGGCGGCGGUGGCGUAAGAGGGAAGAAGAGAGGAACCUAAGGAGAGAGAGAGAUGGGGAGUUCUUGUGUUGUGUCUGUGUGUGCGCGUUGAAAAAGAAGAAAAGAAAAAAUGAGGGAGAGAUUGAUGAGUUGAGUUGGGCUCAAGCAUUGGGCCUUUAAUUUAAUGAAGUGGGCUGCACUUUUAUAACUUGGGCUAUGAAUUAUAUUUUGGGCUGUAUUUUUAUAUGAAGAGAGCCUCUUAUUAAAUUACUAAUUGGGCAAUGAAUUUACUUAUUUGUGAAUUGAGUUGUUAGACUCUUAAUUGAGUUUAACUAAGUAUUUAAACAUGAUUGCAUAUGCAUAUGUAUUGGAUGUAAUUACCGAAAUAUGUGUUUUAAUGCAUAAAAAGAAUUUGCAUUAUACAUUUUGCAUAAAAGCAUUUAUGAGUAAAUUGAGUUUUUAAAGUAAAAGCCGAGCAAAGGUAUUAUUGAAACCCUUAGCCAAGAAAAAUGAUUUUUAAGUUUUAUGUUGAAUUUUUGAAAACUCGGGUGUUCCGAAUCUAGUUAAAAAAUGAUGACAAGUCAUGAGUUUAACGACUAUGAGUUUAAGUUGAGAACUUAUCUUGUAGGUCCUACAGAAGAGGAUAUUUAGGCUCUUGAUCAGCUGAGUUAUAUUGUUUGGAUUUUCUCCAAAUCAAGUGAGGCUUUAUUUAUGAAAUGUAUGUUUGAGCUAAUAAGCUCGUUUUUAUGAAAUGUUAAAGUUGAUGGUUCAUGCUUAAAAUGUUUUUGCUCUCUAUUGGUUAUUGCUUCUACUAGAACAUUGUUGGCUCCGCCAACCAGAACAUUGUUAGCUCUGCUAACCAGAAUUGUGUACGUACACCAGAACCUAUUGUCUCGAGAGAUUCGGUGACAACCAGUUGUAGAUAGCACGCCCAAUAGAUGAGCCAGGAAAAUAUGAGCUCAGAUUAUUUUAGUGUGCAUGGAAUGACUCAUUUUUA
rnacentral:lncRNA from 1 species